rnacentral:rRNA from 1 species
UGGUCUGUAACUGACGCUGAGGAGCGAAAGCGUGGGGAGCGAACAGGAUUAGAUACCCUGGUAGUCCACGCCGUAAACGAUGAGUGCUAAGUGUUAGGGGGUUUCCGCCCCUUAGUGCUGCAGCUAACGCAUUAAGCACUCCGCCUGGGGAGUACGGUCGCAAGACUGAAACUCAAAGGAAUUGACGGGGGCCCGCACAAGCGGUGGAGCAUGUGGUUUAAUUNGAAGCAACGCGAAGAACCUUACCAGGUCUUGACAUCCUCUGACAACCCUAGAGAUAGGGCUUUCCCUUCGGGGACAGAGUGACAGGUGGUGCAUGGUUGUCGUCAGCUCGUGUCGUGAGAUGUUGGGUUAAGUCCCGCAACGAGCGCAACCCUUGAUCUUAGUUGCCAGCAUUUAGUUGGGCACUCUAAGGUGACUGCCGGUGACAAACCGGAGGAAGGUGGGGAUGACGUCAAAUCAUCAUGCCCCUUAUGACCUGGGCUACACACGUGCUACAAUGGACAGAACAAAGGGCUGCGAGACCGCAAGGUUUAGCCAAUCCCACAAAUCUGUUCUCAGUUCGGAUCGCAGUCUGCAACUCGACUGCGUGAAGCUGGAAUCGCUAGUAAUCGCGGAUCAGCAUGCCGCGGUGAAUACGUUCCCGGGCCUUGUACACACCGCCCGUC